rnacentral:lncRNA from 1 species
GGAGCAGCUCAUGCAAGGGCAAGAAGAUGCCAACGGCUGUAUCAACUAUGAAGCUUUUGUCAAGCACAUCAUGUCUGGCUGAAAGAAGAAACUUCAGGCUCUCAGAGAUGUUUGAACUCACCUGAGCACACGAAGAGCGAGAUGCCUCCAUCCAUGUCCCUUCCUCCCUGGACGUUGCACAUCUACAGAGAUGUUUCACAUGAACCACCAUGAAGAGUUGGCCUCCCCGUGUGUGUGUGACUAAGCCUUGGUAUACAACGAGACAUCUGCAACUUGGUUUUCAACCUUAAGUUAUUCUUUUCAGGUUUUGACUUUUGGCUCAUUAAAUUUCAUUCCUUC